rnacentral:rRNA from 1 species
CGUAGGUGGCAAGCGUUGUCCGGAUUUAUUGGGUUUAAAGGGUGCGUAGGCGGUCCCAUAAGUCAGUGCUGAAAUAUCCCGGCUUAACCGGGAGGGUGGCAUUGAUACUGUGGGACUUGAGUAAAGUUGAGGUUGGCGGAAUUGACGGUGUAGCGGUGAAAUGCUUAGAUAUCGUCAAGAACACCUAUUGCGAAGGCAGCUAACUAAGCUUUAACUGACGCUGAGGCACGAAAGUGUGGGGAUCAAACAGGAUUAGAUACCCUGGUAGUCCACACUGUAAACGUUGAUUACUCGCUGUUGGCGAUACACAGCCAGCGGCUUAGCGCAAGCGAUAAGUAAUCCACCUGGGGAGUACGCCGGCAACGGUG